rnacentral:rRNA from 1 species
CGAGCACGCGCGUGUGGCAUAUCAAUAAGCGGAGGAAAAGAAACUAACAAGGAUUCCCUUAGUAACGGCGAGUGAAGCGGGAAGAGCUCAAAUUUGAAAUCUUCAAGGUUCUACCUUGACGAAUUGUAGUUUAUAGAAGCGUUUUCUGUUAGUGGAGUGGCAAAAGUUCUUUGGAAUAGGACAUCAUAGAGGGUGAGAAUCCCGUAUUUGGUCAUUCCUCCUAGCGUCGUGAUACACUUUCAACGAGUCGGAUUGUUUGGGAAUGCAGUCCAAAAUGGGUGGUAAAUUUCAUCUAAAGCUAAAUAUUGGCGAGAGACCGAUAGCGAACAAGUACCGUGAGGGAAAGAUGAAAAGAACUUUGAAAAGAGAGUUAAACAGUACGUGAAAUUGUCAAAAGGGAAGCGUUUGACACCAGUGUUGUUUUUCCGAAAAUCAAUUACGAAUGUUUUAUUUUUGAGGAGUUAUGACUUCAUCGGCUUGCUUCUUUCUUUAUGAAACUUUCUUAAUGCACUUUUCGGUUGACAAGUCAACAUCAAUUUCUUUUGUUGUAGAAGGGUAUGAGGAAGGUGGCUUUCUUUUCGGAGAAAGUGUUUAUAGCCUUGUGCCUCUGCAAUCGGAGAGAUUGAGGGUCUGCAGCGUAGAUCCUUCGGGGUUAGAUACGUUUGUGCUAAGUUAUAGCUUUUCAUAGACAACCUGUUGACUAUGAUUUAAUCAUUGUAGCUUACUCGCUUACUGCUAUUUUACCUACGCUUAGGAUGUUGAACUCUAUCACACACAG